AUGGCCAAGUUUUGGCGCCCACUUUCGCGCAGAGCCUCCUCCUUGUUCCUUGGCGUUCAAGCAGGAUCGAGGCUUUGCUUGGAUCCCCUGCAAUGUCAGUGCACACACACCUCACACGCACGCGCUGGGCCGCAGAGGGGCUUCUUCGUAAAUAAGCCACAAGCAGCAGAAUCCAGAAGAUUCCAGAGGAGGGCACCAUUGGGAAUAAUAGGGAAACCAAGGGGGCUAAGUGAACGGAACGGUGCCCUCUUUUGGGGUGGCGCUGCACGUGCCCACCGAGCUUUUUAUUUACUUUCGAGCCCACCUGGGAGGAGGAGUGAAAAGUCGGGAUGGACGGCCCGGAUCGACGGAGCAGCAGCGGCCUGUGGCGCGCACAUGGGGGCUCGGGACUUUGGAUGCGGUGAGCUGGUCUGGGCGGCCGGCCAGCCUGCCCGCAUGCGGCAGCGAGCCAGGUCAGUUUGA
rnacentral:rRNA from 1 species